CAGCUCUAGGCGGUGGAUCACUCGGCUCGUGGGUCAGA
rnacentral:rRNA from 1 species